GUGCCAGCAGCCGCGGUAAUACAGAGGCCCCAAACGUUGCGCGGAAUCACUGGGCUUAAAGGGUGCGUAGGCGGGCCCGCAAGUGCUUUGUGAAAUCCCACGGCUUAACCGUGGAAUUGCUCGGCAUACUGCGGGUCUUGAGGUCGGCAGAGGUUGCUGGAACUCUAGGUGUAGCGGUGAAAUGCGUAGAUAUCUAGAGGAACGCCCAAGGUGAAGACAGGCAACUGGGCCGAUUCUGACGCUGAGGCACGAAAGCGUGGGUAGCGAACGGGAUUAGAUACCCUCGUAGUCC
rnacentral:rRNA from 1 species